CUGUUUCUGUUUCUGUUUCAGUGUGGACUUGUGGUGACAGUUUUGUUAUUUGGUAAUAUCACAUAUAUAAUAUGUUGACUUUAGUGGCUUAAUGGGCCAUCAUGACUUUUAGAAAAAAUACAUACGAACAUGACUACAUGAGAAAUAUUUUUCUUUGUGUGGGCUAGUUCUGAAACAAGUUAAACAACCCAAUCCUAAGUUAUAAAAAAAAAUUACUUUUUUUUUUCUUCCCCUUCCUUCUUCUUCUCAGCGCACCUCGGACCCUCCGGACUUCCCGAAUUUCAAGCUGGACCCUCCCUAGUACAUAAAAAAAUUUCUCGCAACAGGGGGGCCGUGGACCCCCCCC
rnacentral:lncRNA from 1 species